UUCGAAUCACCUUAAUUGGACUUCAGAUGAGAAAGUAAUAAGCCAAAUAGUGUACUCUGCCAGAAUUAUACGGGACUUUUCGGGAUGCAUGAAAUUCGACUUGUUCAACGAAUUUCCCUCUUCCUUGUCUUCCAAUUCUUCGUGUUGGAUGUAUUUAGGAUCAUAUCAUUCUCCCUUUCUUCAAAAGAAUUCGUCCUCGAAUUCGAAUCCUUUGAAUGAGCGUGUAGUAUUGAAAGCGAAUCCAUGAGGCAGAAAGUUCUUCACUGUAUUUGGAACUUUUUUUUUUCUUUUUACGAACAAAUAAUAAUGAAAUUC
rnacentral:lncRNA from 1 species